AAACUACAUUUGCUGAGAUUUUAACUGAGGUGUUCGUAUCGCACAUCAUAAAAGACAAUCUUAGCAUCUGUUCAUUUUAAUUGUAGGAGAAAACGGGUUAAUUUUGAGCUUUUUUUCCCGCUAUUUUUGUCUUCCUGGUUUAAAAUCUCAGUCACAGGCGGUGACGUGGCAAUGUACUAUAGUACUUCGAUGACGUGUCGGUGUCUCAUAAUUAUUCAUGAGCCUGCGUGUUCUUUUCCUAUGAGAAGAUGCGGUCUCUUAAUUACUCAUGACAGGACGUGGUGCUUUCCUACAGAUGUAGUAGAUAAGAUGGGUCGGAGGUGUUUGUUUCAGUGGUGUAAGAGUUCGAGCGUGUUUAUUCUGGAGAGCGAUGAGAAUUGGAGAAAGGUGGACUUCGGACUUGCUCAUGAAAGCAGUUUGCGUGUACACAAUGAUACGGUACUCAGUCCCGAGGACUUUUCUAACCCUUUAAAUGAGCUGCUCGUGCUAAACAGUGUAACACUGUACUGUAGAUAGUCAUGUAUAUCUGAAUAUGGAUAAGUCACCAGACUGCAGCAUGGAAGUUGCGGGUGAACGCCACUGUCCCUACUCCAGUACAAUAUUGUACAAAGCAUGUUGAGUUUUCCUCAGAUCAUCAUCAGCAGGACCAACUCAAUCCACUCAACGCUUCCAUAUCGAAACUUGGACUGCCAUAUAUAGACCGUUUACAUAUGAAGGGAGGAGGAAGUGCCCAGAACUUCACCUUCACUGGAAACAAGCUGAUCUCAGCAGCUGACAAAGCCAUCUAGUUUCUGCAAAAUUCCUUCCUACUUAUGAUCUGCAGUGUUUUCCUUUUCCACUCCUAUUGGGAAGCUGUAAACCCAAAGACAUUUUACAAAGCCAAGAAAGCUGUGAAAUGUAGAUUUUGGCAAGUUACACCAUGUUCCUUUCAGGAAAUAAAAUUUGAAUGUAAAGUU